rnacentral:rRNA from 1 species
CUACGGGGUGCUGCAGUGAGGAAUAUUGGUCAAUGGGCGCGAGCCUGAACCAGCCAUCCCGCGUGCAGGAUGACGGCCCUAUGGGUUGUAAACUGCUUUUCUAUGCCAAGAAACCUGAUUACGUGUAAUCAGUUGCCGGUAGCAUAGGAAUAAGCAUCGGCUAACUCCGUGCCAGCAGCCGCGGUAAUACGGAGGAUGCAAGCGUUAUCCGGAUUCAUUGGGUUUAAAGGGUGCGCAGGUGGGCUUGUAAGUCGGUGGUGAAAUGCUGCCGCUUAACGGUAGAACUGCCAUUGAUACUGCGAGUCUUGAGUAUGGUUGAGGUAGGCGGAAUGUGUUGUGUAGCGGUGAAAUGCAUAGAUAUGACACAGAACGCCAAUUGCGAAGGCAGCUUACUAAGCCAUUACUGACGCUGAGGCACGAAAGCGUGGGGAGCGAACAGGAUUAGAUACCCUGGUAGUC